GUAGUAGUAGUACUACUACUACUAGUAGUAGUAGUAGUAGUAAUAUUGUUGUUGUUAAACCACCUUCCUAUUUGCGAUUAGUAAAGGCUACUUAAAUAUACUCCACUCCUCUUAAACUUCAAUUUUCUUUUAGGAGGGUGAGUGGUUCUGGAGCGAUGGGACACGAUUCGGUUAUUCCAACUGGUGUCCUGGAGAACCAAAUAACACCCAAGGCCAGCAUUGCCUUCAGAUCAAUCAUGGAAAUGGAAAGUGCUGGGAUGACCUCAGCUGUCAUGAGAAUAGACCGUCCGUCUGUGCCAAGAAAAUCUGAUGGUUCCUGUGCUGCCACAGAGACUUGAAAGCAUCUUUCUUUUUCUUUUGAGUUUCUUCAUCACAUUUCAAAUCUGUAUCGCUGUAAUGCUGCUUAAGGAAUGAAGCGACAAGUGACAUAAACUGGAGCUGGACUGUCUCUUUGGCCUUGUGCUUUUAAAUAAGAGCAGACUGAAUGUGUUAUGAAAAGAAUGCCUUCUGCUAAGUGUACUGAUAUUUCUUCAUUCAAUAAUAAUAAAGGCUCAAGCAUUGAACAAA